GGGGAAAAAUUAAUAAAAAAAAAAUUAAUAAAAAAAUUUUUAAAAUAUAUUUUAAUGGGGGUUAAAGUAUAUAUAUAGAAAAAAUUUUAAAAUUUAUAGUGAAAUAGUAUUGUAAGAGAAUUUUGAAAUAAAUAUAAAAAUUAUAAAAAAGUAAAUUUAGUUUAUUGUAUCUUGUGUAUCAGAGUUUAUUAAUAAAAUUUUUUAAGUAGAAAUUUCUCGAAUUUAAAAGAGUUAAUUAAUUAUAAAAGUUAAUGUAGAAUAAUUAUUUUUAAUAAUUAAUUAGAAAUGAAAUGUUAAUCGUUUUUAAAAAUAUCUAGUUUUUUUAGAAAAAAAUUUAAUUUUAAAUAUUAUAUUUUAAAAUUUUAUUAAUAAAAAUUUUAAUAAUUAAUAUUAAAUAUUUUAAGGGAUAAGCUUUAAAAUAAAUUUUUAUAAUUGAUAAUAAUAAUAAAAAAUUAAAAUUUUAAAAUUUAAAUUGUUAAAUAAAUUAUAAUUUUUUACAAAUAAUUUAAUUUUAAUUAAAAUUUAAUAUAAAAUUUAAAUUUUUAUAAAAAAAUAUAUUUUAAUAAAAUAAAAUUAAAUAUAAUGAUAAAAUUAGUAUAUAAAAAUUAUAAAAAUAAUAAUUUAUUAAAAGUUAAUUAAAGGAAUUCGGCAAAAUUAUAUAUUCACUUGUUUAUCAAAAACAUGUCUUUUUGAAAAUAAUUUAAAGUCUAAUCUGCCCACUGAUAAAUAUAUUAAAGGGCUGCAGUAUUUUGACUGUACAAAGGUAGCAUAAUCAUUAGUCUCUUAAUUGGUGACUUGUAUGAAAGAUUGGAUGAAAUAUAAACUGUCUCUAAUUAAUUUAUAAAAUUUAAUUUUUUAGUAAAAAAGCUAAAAUAAUUUUAAAAGACGAGAAGACCCUAUAGAGUUUUAUAAUUUAUUUAAUUAUUAUUAAUAUGUAAAUUUUAAAAUUAAAAUUAAAUAAAUUAUUUUGUUGGGGUGACAGAAAAAUUAAAUUAACUUUUUUAGAUAAUUAACAUUAAUUUAUGAAUAAAUGAUCCAUUAAUAUUGAUUAAAAGAAAAAAUUACCUUAGGGAUAACAGCGUAAUUUUUUUUUUUAGUUCAAAUAGGAAAAAAAGUUUGCGACCUCGAUGUUGGAUUAAAAUAAAAUUUAAAUGCAAAAGUUUAAAAUUUUGAUCUGUUCGAUCAUUAAAAUCUUACAUGAUCUGAGUUCAAACCGGUGUGAGCCAGGUUGGUUUCUAUCUUUAAAUAAAAAUAAUAUUUUAGUACGAAAGGAUCAAAUAUUAAAAAUAAUUUUAUAAAAGUGAAUAUUAUUAAUAAUAUUUAUAAAACUAUUUUGGCAGAAAAAAUGUAAU
rnacentral:rRNA from 1 species